rnacentral:lncRNA from 1 species
CUUGCGGAUUCAUCUGUGUGCGUAUAAAUACCAUAGUACACUCUAGUGCCAUGCUGGGGAUGACAACCUAGUAUUCAAGUGGUGUUAGCAAGUGUCAACAAGCAUUUUUGGUGCCGUUGCCGGGGAAACGGUUGCUGAGUUGACUACGAACUAGCUUAAUCAUUUUCUAAAAAAUAAAAAAAAUAAUAUAUACUUUUCCUUUUAUCUUUUGCCUUAUCUCUACUAUUCUUUCUUCUUAUCUAAUCCUUGAUCUCUUGUCUAUCAUGAAUUCAAACAUGUCUAUCUAUGAAUUUCAUAGACCUACAGGCACACAUCUCGAACCACCAAAAUCUUCAAAGCCUAUCAUAGCAUCUAGUUUUAAGAUAGACCCCGAAUACAUAGAAUUUGUUCAAAAACAACCUUUCUCAGGAGA